UAUAUACUCCCUCCGUCCGAAAAUACUUGUCAUCAAAAUGGAUAAAAGAAGAUGUACCUAGAGCUAAAAUACGUCUAGAUACAUCUUCUUUUAUUCAUUUUGAUGACAAGUAUUUCCGAACGGAGGGAGUACUCC
rfam:Triticum aestivum genome assembly, contig: Triticum_aestivum_CS42_TGACv1_scaffold_404908_5BL